UGCAGUCGAGGGGCAGCAUUGGAGUAGCAAUACUUCAGAUGGCGACCGGCGCACGGGUGAGUAACACGUAUCCAACCUGCCGCUUACUCGGGGAUAGCCUUUCGAAAGAAAGAUUAAUACCCGAUGGUAUAAAGAGUUCGCAUGUUCUCUUUAUUAAAGAAUUUCGGUAAGCGAUGGGGAUGCGUUCCAUUAGAUAGUUGGCGGGGUAACGGCCCACCAAGUCUACGAUGGAUAGGGGUUCUGAGAGGAAGGUCCCCCACAUUGGAACUGAGACACGGUCCAAACUCCUACGGGAGGCAGCAGUGAGGAAUAUUGGUCAAUGGACGAGAGUCUGAACCAGCCAAGUAGCGUGAAGGAUGACUGCCCUAUGGGUUGUAAACUUCUUUUAUAAGGGAAUAAAGUGAGGGACGUGUCCCUUUUUGUAUGUACCUUAUGAAUAAGGAUCGGCUAACUCCGUGCCAGCAGCCGCGGUAAUACGGAGGAUCCGAGCGUUAUCCGGAUUUAUUGGGUUUAAAGGGAGCGUAGGUUGACGUAUAAGUCAGCUGUGAAAGUUUACGGCUCAACCGUGAAAUUGCAGUUGAUACUGUAUGUCUUGAGUGUACAAGAGGUGGGCGGAAUUCGUGGUGUAGCGGUGAAAUGCUUAGAUAUCACGAAGAACUCCAAUUGCGAAGGCAGCUCACUGGGGUACAACUGACACUGAGGCUCGAAAGUGUGGGUAUCAAACAGGAUUAGAUACCCUGGUAGUCCACACAGUAAACGAUGAAUACUCGCUGUUUGCGAUAUACAGUAAGCGGCCAAGCGAAAGCAUUAAGUAUUCCACCUGGGGAGUACGCCGGCAACGGUGAAACUCAAAGGAAUUGACGGGGGCCCGCACAAGCGGAGGAACAUGUGGUUUAAUUCGAUGAUACGCGAGGAACCUUACCCGGGCUUGAAUUGCAGAGGAACAUAGUUGAAAGAUUAUGGCCGCAAGGUCUCUGUGAAGGUGCUGCAUGGUUGUCGUCAGCUCGUGCCGUGAGGUGUCGGCUUAAGUGCCAUAACGAGCGCAACCCUUAUCAUUAGUUACUAACAGGUCAUGCUGAGGACUCUAGUGAGACUGCC
rnacentral:rRNA from 1 species